rnacentral:rRNA from 1 species
UACGUAGGGUGCGAGCGUUGUCCGGAAUCAUUGGGCGUAAAGCGCGUGUAGGCGGCCCGGUAAGUCCGCUGUGAAAGUCGGGGGCUCAACCCUCGAAUGCCGGUGGAUACUGUCGGGCUAGAGUGCGGGAGAGGCGAGUGGAAUUCCUGGUGUAGCGGUGAAAUGCGCAGAUAUCAGGAGGAACACCAAUUGCGAAGGCAGCUCGCUGGAACGUAACUGACGCUGAGACGCGAAAGCGUGGGGAGCAAACAGG